AGUUCAGACGUGUGCUCUUCCGAUCUGUUUCCCAGUCACGAUAGGAUGCGAGCGAAAAGGGAGGAGUCCAAACUUUUCAAAAACAAUUGGUUUUCCAAAUGUUUAUGAAAGGGGUUGUAAGAUGACAUAUCUCGCAAGAGAAAGGGAAGUGAAAAUGUUAGUGGAAGGCGGCUGGAAAGCCCCACCAAAGAAGGUGAUAGUCCUGUACGCAAAAAUAUUUUCAUACCCUUUGUGUUAUUCUUGAGUACUUCGACACAUGAAAGGGUCGGAGGAAGCAGGCCGCACUAUACGGCUAAGACUAAAUACUUUCGAAAACCGAUAGUGAACAAGUACCGUGAGGGAAAGGUGAAAAGUAGCCCGGUGAGGGCGAUGAAAUAGUUUCUGAAACCAUAAGCUUACAAAGAGUCGGAGCCUUGUACGUAGCAAUAUGUAUGUGGGUGACGGCGUGCCUAUUGAAGAAUGAGCCAACGAGUUGAUGUAUACUGCUCGGCUAAGUCCGCGAGGAUGGAGCCACAGGGAAACCAAGUACUAAUAGUGCGUUCGUAGUACACAUCAGACCCGAAGCCAAUGCGAGCUUGCCAUGAGCAGGGUGAAGUAGUUCGAAAGAACUAUGGAGGCCCGAACCGGUAUGUCGUUCAACGCAUUCGGAUGACUUGUGGUAAGAAGUGAAAAGCUAAUCGAGCUUGGUAAUAGCUGGUUCUCUCCGAAAUAGCUUUUGGGUUAGCGUCAUGUGUUCCCUCUGGGGGUAGAGCACUGGAAGGACUCGACAGGGAGAAAUCUCGCGAGUCCUAUCAAACUCCGAAUACCAGAGGUUAUAGCAUGGCAGUCAGUCUGUGGGGGCUAAGCUCCACUAGACAAAAGGGAAACAGCCCAUGAUCUCAAUUUAAGGUCCCUAAAUCUAUGUUAAGUGCACUUAAGGUGGUAAAGUUUCUUAGACAAUGAGGAGGUUUGCUUAGAAGCAGCCAUCCUUUAAAGAUAGCGUAACAGCUCACUCAUCGAGAGAUUUUGCGCCGCAAAUAACCGGGGCUAAAACAUAGUACCGAAACUGAGGGAUUAAAGACUUUUCGAAGUUUUUGAUCGGUAGGAGAGUGUUCUUGUCGCGAUGAAGCCAAAGGGGUGACCCAUGGUGGAGCGUCAAGAAGUAAGAAUGUUGGCACAAGUAACCACAAUCAGAGUGAAAUACUCUGACGUCGAAAGAUCAAGGUUUCCUAGGCAAUGAUUGUCAUCCUAGGGUUAGUCGGGCCUAAGGCAAUGGCGAGAGCCGCAGCCGAUGGACACACGGUUAAUAUUCCGUGACUUUUACGUAUAGUGAUGGGAGGACGGAGUGUAGUAUGGAGAGCGCAUUAUUGAAUUUGCGUUUAUGUGUGAAGGGGGAUGUGUAGGUAAAUCCGCACGUCUGACUUUAAUGUCGAUCCAACACAAGUGAUAAAACGGUGGAUUCGUUCACUGUCGAUUCUUCAAAGCACGCUUCCAAGAAAAUUCUCUAAACUUAUAUACGUAGAAACCGUACCGAAAACCGACACAGGUGAUCAGCUCGAGUAGAGCAAGACGAACGGGUGAGAGGUCUUCAAGGAACUCGGCAAAAAAGCAGCCGUAACUUCGGAAUAAGGCUUGCCCUCCCUAAAAAGAGGGUUGCAACAAAAGUAUCCCUGGCAACUGUUUACCAAAAACACAGCUCCCUGCGAACUCGCAAGAGGAUGUAUAGGGGGUGACACUUGACCAAUGCCAGAAGGUCAAACACGGGCGGUCGCAUAGCAAUAUGUUGGCUGGACUGUGCAAGCCCUGGUGAAUGUCGGCCGUAACUAUAACGGUCCUAAGGUAGCGAAAUUCCUUGUCAGGUAAGUUCUGACGCGCACGAAUAGUGUAAUGACUGGGGAACUGUCUCGAAGACUCGCCCGGUGAAAAUGCAAUGGAGGUGAAGAUGCCUCCUACCUGCAGCUAGACGAAAAGACCCCAGAAGCUUCACUGCAUCCUGGUAUUGAUCAUACGUUUUUACUGCGUAGCAUAGAUGGGAGAGGUUGAAAUCCAGAUCUUGGUUUGGGUGGACUCGUCAGUGAAAUACCAUUCUGUCAAAAUGUAUGCUCUAACCUGUUCGGAAAAAACGAACAGAGACAGUACUUGGUGGGCAGUUUUAGUGGGGCGCUAUCCUCCCAAAAAGUAACGGAGGAGUUUAUUAAGGUUGGCUAGGCGCGAAUGGAAACCGUGCCGAUAGUGCAGAUUAUCUGGGGCAGAUUUUCACCAAACAGGCAGAUUAUUUAGGGCAUAACCCCGCCUAAACGCGAAUAGCCUAAGUAUUGGCUUACUUUAGGGGCUAAAACACGCCUACACGCUUACCCAAUACCCCAGAGCCUUCGGUUUAGCCUAAAUCUAUGAGCCUUGAAGAUGAUCUAUUGAACCUUAGA
rnacentral:rRNA from 1 species